UACGUAGGGUGCGAGCGUUGUCCGGAAUUAUUGGGCGUAAAGAGCUUGUAGGCGGUCUGUCGCGUCUGCUGUGAAAAUCCGGGGCUCAACCCCGGACUUGCAGUGGGUACGGGCAGACUAGAGUGUGGUAGGGGAGACUGGAAUUCCUGGUGUAGCGGUGAAAUGCGCAGAUAUCAGAAGGAACACCAAUGGCGAAGGCAGCACUCUGGGACGUGACUGACGCUGAGACGCGAAAGCGUGGGGAGCAAACAGG
rnacentral:rRNA from 1 species